GUCCCAAUGAUACAAAGGAACUACAAUGUCAGCUCAGCUAAUUGUGUGGAGAUUUCCCUGUGUGUCGGGAGAAUCCCUGGUUGGUGUCAAUCUAAGAAUAUGUGAUGUAAAGAAGAUUCAUAUAAAAACUAAAGGAGAAUUUUUAACAAGAAGUACCAUAUCUGUCAAACCAACUGAGAAGAUUUGUAGAUCAGUGGAAAAAGGAUUAAGAAAAUUCAUGGAGAUAUAAGAACCUGCACUUCAGAGAUCCCAGAUUCUGGCUUCUGAAUCUGCCUUCCUACUAAUGCCUGACUCCUGGUUUGCUCUCUUGCUUCUCUCGGACUCAGACCUCCUGGUAACCUGACCCUGCCUGUCUCUUGACUUCUGGUUCUCGGUUUGCCCUCUGGUACCCAACUCACUCUGACUCCCGCUCUGACCCCUAAGCCUGAC